UCCUGGCGACUAUAGCGGUUUGGAACCACCUGAAUCCAUCUCGAACUCAGAAGUGAAACGAACAUGCGCCAAUGAUAGUGUGAGGCUUCCUC
rnacentral:rRNA from 1 species